rnacentral:rRNA from 1 species
GAUGAACGCUGGCGGCGUGCCUAAUACAUGCAAGUCGAGCGAACGGACGAGAAGCUUGCUUCUCUGAUGUUAGCGGCGGACGGGUGAGUAACACGUGGAUAACCUACCUAUAAGACUGGGAUAACUUCGGGAAACCGGAGCUAAUACCGGAUAAUAUUUUGAACCGCAUGGUUCAAAAGUGAAAGACGGUCUUGCUGUCACUUAUAGAUGGAUCCGCGCUGCAUUAGCUAGUUGGUAAGGUAACGGCUUACCAAGGCAACGAUGCAUAGCCGACCUGAGAGGGUGAUCGGCCACACUGGAACUGAGACACGGUCCAGACUCCUACGGGAGGCAGCAGUAGGGAAUCUUCCGCAAUGGGCGAAAGCCUGACGGAGCGACGCCGCGUGAGUGAUGAAGGUCUUCGGAUCGUAAAACUCUGUUAUUAGGGAAGAACAUAUGUGUAAGUAACUGUGCACAUCUUGACGGUACCUAAUCAGAAAGCCACGGCUAACUACGUGCCAGCAGCCGCGGUAAUACGUAGGUGGCAAGCGUUAUCCGGAAUUAUUGGGCGUAAAGCGCGCGUAGGCGGUUUUUUAAGUCUGAUGUGAAAGCCCACGGCUCAACCGUGGAGGGUCAUUGGAAACUGGAAAACUUGAGUGCAGAAGAGGAAAGUGGAAUUCCAUGUGUAGCGGUGAAAUGCGCAGAGAUAUGGAGGAACACCAGUGGCGAAGGCGACUUUCUGGUCUGCAACUGACGCUGAUGUGCGAAAGCGUGGGGAUCAAACAGGAUUAGAUACCCUGGUAGUCCACGCCGUAAACGAUGAGUGCUAAGUGUUAGGGGGUUUCCGCCCCUUAGUGCUGCAGCUAACGCAUUAAGCACUCCGCCUGGGGAGUACGACCGCAAGGUUGAAACUCAAAGGAAUUGACGGGGACCCGCACAAGCGGUGGAGCAUGUGGUUUAAUUCGAAGCAACGCGAAGAACCUUACCAAAUCUUGACAUCCUUUGACAACUCUAGAGAUAGAGCCUUCCCCUUCGGGGGACAAAGUGACAGGUGGUGCAUGGUUGUCGUCAGCUCGUGUCGUGAGAUGUUGGGUUAAGUCCCGCAACGAGCGCAACCCUUAAGCUUAGUUGCCAUCAUUAAGUUGGGCACUCUAAGUUGACUGCCGGUGACAAACCGGAGGAAGGUGGGGAUGACGUCAAAUCAUCAUGCCCCUUAUGAUUUGGGCUACACACGUGCUACAAUGGACAAUACAAAGGGCAGCGAAACCGCGAGGUCAAGCAAAUCCCAUAAAGUUGUUCUCAGUUCGGAUUGUAGUCUGCAACUCGACUACAUGAAGCUGGAAUCGCUAGUAAUCGUAGAUCAGCAUGCUACGGUGAAUACGUUCCCGGGUCU